rnacentral:rRNA from 1 species
GAUGAAUGCGGGCGGCGUGCCUAAUGCAUGCAAGGCGAGCUAACAGACGAGGAGCUUUCUCCUCUGACGUUAGCGCCUGACGGGUGAGUAACACGUUGAUAACCUCCCUAUAAGACUGGGAUAACUUCGGGAAACCGUAUCUAAUACUGCAUAAGAUAUUUAACCUCAUGGCUCAAUAGUGAAAGAGGGUGUUGCUGUCACUUAUGGAUAGCUCCGCCCCGCAUUAGCAAGUCGGUAAGGUAACGGCUUACCAAGGCAACCAUGCGUAGCCGACCUGAGAGGGUGAUCGGCCACACUGGAACUGAGACACGGUACAGACUCCUCAGGGAGGCACAAGUAGCGAAUCUUCCGCAAUGGGCGAAAGCCUGACGGCGCAACGCCGCGUGAGUGAUGAAGGUCUUCGGAUCCUAAAACUCUGUUAUUCGGGAAGAACAAAUGUGUAAGUAACUAUGCACGUCUUGACGGUAGCUAAUCAGAAAGCCACGGCUAACUAGGUG